rnacentral:rRNA from 1 species
UACGUAGGGUGCGAGCGUUAAUCGGAAUUACUGGGCGUAAAGCGUGCGCAGGCGGUUUUGUAAGCCAGAUGUGAAAUCCCCGGGCUUAACCUGGGAACUGCAUUUGUGACUGCAUAGCUAGAGUACGGUAGAGGGGGAUGGAAUUCCGCGUGUAGCAGUGAAAUGCGUAGAGAUCGGGAGGAACACCCGUGGCGAAGGCGGCCAUCUGGACCAGCACUGACGCUGAGGCACGAAAGCGUGGGGAGCAAACAGG